AGUGAACGCUGGCGGUAGGCCUAACACAUGCAAGUCGAACGGCAGCACAGUAAGAGCUUGCUCUUACGGGUGGCGAGUGGCGGACGGGUGAGGAAUACAUCGGAAUCUACUUUUUCGUGGGGGAUAACGUAGGGAAACUUACGCUAAUACCGCAUACGACCUACGGGUGAAAGCAGGGGAUCUUCGGACCUUGCGCGAUUGAAUGAGCCGAUGUCGGAUUAGCUAGUUGGCGGGGUAAAGGCCCACCAAGGCGACGAUCCGUAGCUGGUCUGAGAGGAUGAUCAGACACACUGGAACUGAGACACGGUCCAGACUCCUACGGGAGGCAGCAGUGGGGAAUAUUGGACAAUGGGCGCAAGCCUGAUCCAGCCAUACCGCGUGGGUGAAGAAGGCCUUCGGGUUGUAAAGCCCUUUUGUUGGGAAAGAGAAGCAGCAGGUUAAUACCCCGCUGUUCUGACGGUACCCAAAGAAUAAGCACCGGCUAACUUCGUG
rnacentral:rRNA from 1 species